CAGCCGCCGCGGUAAUACGGAGGGCGCGAGCGUUACCCGGAUUUACUGGGCGUAAAGGGCGUGUAGGCGGCCUGGGGCGUCCCAUGUGGAAGGCCACGGCUCAACCGUGGAGGAGCGUGGGAUACGCUCAGGCUAGAGGGUGGGAGAGGGUGGUGGAAUUCCCGGAGUAGCGGUGAAAUGCGCAGAUACCGGGAGGAACGCUGAUGGCGAAGGCGGCCACCUGGUCCACUUCUGACGCUGAGGCGCGAAAGCGUGGGGAGCAAACCGGAUUAGAUACCCGCGUAGUCCCUGUCUCUUAUAC
rnacentral:rRNA from 1 species